rnacentral:lncRNA from 10 species
GCUAGGAAGGGUACCAGGAGAUAGACGCACACAGAUGGGAUUUGGGAAUAGGUUUGGUUAUCCAAGGAGCAGUGCUGAGCUCCUUGCUAAUGGGAUAUGGGAUGCUGGUGAUUUCCAGGAAGUGACCGCACAAUGACUCAAGCUACCACAUACUGUUGAUUGUGAAAUGCCAGUUGAAGCAUAUGUCCUGCGAGCUUAGGGGUGCUACAAGUUGACCACUGCAGCAGUAAAGAUGACUCUGAAGAAUGGCGUGGGAUGGAUCCUUUCGAAUGCAUUUGAGCAGCGGUCUCCAACCACAGGGCCACAGAGCUGGAGGAUGGACAGUCUAAUUGCAGGAAAACAAGCUCAGAGAUCCCACUGAGUCUACGUUAUACUGGAUCUACCAUGAAAGACUUCUGAAUCCAGGAAGAGAGACUGACUGGGCAACAUGUUAUUCAGGAACAAAAAGAUUUGGACUGUAACUUAAAAAUGAUCAAAUAAUAGUGCAUGCAUCAAGUGCAAUGGGAAGCUCUUCUGGAGAGUGAGAGAAGCUUCCAGUUAAGGUGACAUUGAAGCCAAGUCCUGAAAGAUGAGGAAGAGUUGUAUGAGAGUGGGGAGGGAAGGGGGAGGUGGAGGGAUGGUGAAUGGGCCGAGAUGGGAUAGCGCAAACUGCCCGGGAAGGGAAACCAGCACUGUACGGACCUGAACAACGAAGAUGGCAUAUUUUGUUCAGGGAAUGGUGAAUUAAGUGUGGCAGGAAUGCUUUGUAGACACAGUAAUUUGCUUGUAUGGAAUUUUGCCUGAGAGACCUCAUUGCAGUUUCUGAUUUUUUGAUGUCAUCAUCCAUCACUGUCCUUGUCAAAUAGUUUGGAAUAGGUAUAAUGAUCACAGUAACCCCAAGCAUAAUAUUUCAUUAAUUCUCACAGAAUCACAGGUAGGUGCCACAGUUAUCCCCAUUUUAUGAACGGAGUG